UAGAGAAUGUAGAACAAAAUUGUGUUUAUUUACAUCACAAAUUGGGAACUGAGAAAGAUGGCGCAGAUUAAAAUAAUUAAGAAAAAAAUCAUGGCUGCAAACUCUGUUCUGAGAAAUUGGAGGAACUUACGUUCCAUCAGUAUUAAUUGUUAUGCCACAUGGAUCAGAUCCAAGCAUCUAAAGCACAUUGGGGCAGGAGUCUUAACAGGACUCGCAGCAUAUAGUGUAUCUAGCUUUACAGUCCUGGCGGCACAGAAUGACUUGCACAAUUAUGUUAAAAGUUUUAUGGCAGAGCCUAUUACAGCUGUUGCAAAAUUACAAAAAAGCGAAAAUAGUAUGAGAUCAAAGAUGGAAUUGCUGGUGAUGAAAACACAAGCAGACUUCUGCAGAGCCCUUGAGUCACUGGAAAGCGAUGGAGCUUCCUUCACAGUGGAUCGCUGGACUAGGAAAGAAGGUGGCGGCGGUAUUACUUGCGUGCUGCAGGAUGGACAAGUAUUCGAAAAGGCUGGCGUUAACGUUUCUGUGGUAACUGGCGUAUUACCACCGAGCGCGACUCAACAGAUGAAAGCACGCGGCAAAAAGAUGGAAGAUUCAGUGCCGUUCUUCGCAGCCGGCGUGAGCGCCGUGAUUCACCCUCGCAAUCCUAUGAUUCCUACGAUUCACUUCAACUACCGCUACUUCGAGACAGAGAAUCCGGACGGUACCGUUCAGUGGUGGUUUGGCGGUGGCACAGAUCUUACUCCAUAUUAUUUGGACGAGGAAGACGCCAAGCACUUUCACAAGACGCUGAAGACUGCGUGCGACAAGCACAAUUCUUCCUAUUACACCAAGUUUAAGGAGUGGUGUGAUAAUUACUUCAACAUCGUGCACCGAGGAGAGCGCCGUGGCGUGGGCGGGAUAUUCUUUGACGAUCUCGACACUCCGAGUCAGAAUGAGGCGUUUCAAUUCGUGACUUCCUGCGCCGAGGCAGUCAUUCCGUCAUACAUUCCUUUGAUAGAAAAGCACAAGAACGACGGCUAUGGAUAUAACGAGAGGCAGUGGCAAUUGUUACGACGAGGUAGAUACGUCGAGUUCAAUUUGAUCUACGAUCGCGGCACCAAGUUUGGCUUGUACACACCUGGCGCGCGAUACGAAAGUAUACUCAUGUCUUUACCCUUAAACGCCAAAUGGGAAUAUAUGCACGAGCCAAAGAUUGGUUCGAAAGAGUCGCAGCUUCUGGAGGUGCUGAAAAAUCCAAAAGACUGGCUGGACGAAGCGAAGUCGGGCAACGUGUAAAUGUAAAUCUUAAUUCUGGAAGUGACUUUGAGUUAAAAAAAUUAUGGACAGAUAUAAGAGUUGAGUUUACAGAUAUAUAAAUGCAGAUUGUUACGUCAUUCAAACUUCAAACGUUUAGGAUGUUUAACAUGAGUCGAUGCAGUGCUUCCAUAAAGUAUUGAAUGUUAUAAAGGUAUGUUAUAAAUAAUUCUAUAGAAUAAAUACACUCAGAUUUUGUACAAUAUACAUAUAUAAUCAGUAA
rnacentral:misc_RNA from 1 species